UUUCCGAAGAGGUAGCUCAGUUUGAACGCCAUGUUGCACGAUUUUGAGUAGUCCUGCAAUGAAGUCUCUGAUGUUAUCGUGUCUCAUGUGAACAAAGCCCCCCUCUCUUGCACUUAAGUGCGUGUGUCAUUGUGAAAUUUUGGGUGCAAGGAUAGACUGUUGAACUUGAAAAUCAUUUCAACUCCCGAUGGUAUCGCAUAUUUAUUGUGUCUUGAAAUUCUGAGUAAUUUAGGUUAAAUCUCUGCUUUUAAUUGGUUGACCAGCAAACCAAUUUGACGCUCGUAAUAAUAAUUGACUCAAACUCUUUUCUACAGCAUAUAUAUCCUGGAGUCCACAUUUUUGGCAGCUAUUUGACCUUAGGAAUAACAGAUAAGCUGGAAAUAGCAAAUUUCUGACAAUAUUUUAUUGCUAUGAACCUUCCGACUCUAGACCAAGUCGCGCGAUGGGCAGUGUUUCAUAUUUGGCGUGUGCACGUGGACGCCGCGGUUACCAUGGAGAUGUUGGCUGCAAUGUAUGCGCGGUACGCGUGCACGCUCAUUUAUUUAUCUUUCACUUCCAAUUGCUCUUAAACUCAUAAAAAACAAUGGUCAACUUAAAUACAAGUGCAUCAGUGCUCACAGGAAAUGAGAUCAAUCAGUUAUCUGCAGCUGUGAUUCUUCUUGGAGUAUUGGUAUUGGCUCUAGGAUUCCUCGUCAUCGGACUUCACAUUCGUACAGUGAACAAAAUUUCGAAGGUCUUCAACGAAAUUGACUUGGAAGUGGGACUACAAGUUCCUGAACAAAAGCCACCACAACAAGGCCCCUUACAACAGGGAUUGCUAGACCCAAGGUUUCCUGCUUCAAGGACUCUCGACAGCACUAGCAGGUCAAAAAUAUGGAAGACGAGAACGGAAAGGGAUAGAUCAGCGCGUUCAAAGGUAGGUUUGGGUGCCCGCAAACACAAAUACGUGUCUUCGAGUAUCUUCCCAGAUGAACUCGUUUUCAUCUCCGAGAGUGAAGAUUCCAUACGGGUGAAGAAAUUCAUAACGGCGGGUAGAGAAGUCGUCAAAAAAGAAGGGCCUCCAAAAGGGGAGGAUGGAAUAAACUCCUGUGGAAACAAUGAAGUUGAGAAGAAAACCGACAAAGGGGAUCAAAGUGUCUCUGAAUAUGUAACAUCAAAUGAAUCAGAAAGCGAACUAUACACCUACCCAAAUGGAGCAGGGACAGUGACAUUUGAUCCAAGUAACCCAACAGACAAGUUACAGAGAAAUCGUAAAUCGAUCUCAGAAAAUAAUCUGCUAAUCAGAGACAAUACAUCUCGUGGAGCUGGCCAGUUCCCGAAACAGCUUGUAACGAGAUCUCGUGAACAGAAUCAGGGGGAUCAGGAUAAUUGCCUUACUGUUUGAAAAGUCUACCGACAUACGCUUCAACACACGCUCUGACAUACGCUAUGACAUACGCCCUGACACACGCUCUGACAUACGCUCUGACACACGCUCUGACACACGCUCUGAAAUACGCUCGGACACACGCUCGGACACACGCUCGGGCACACGCUCGGACACACAGUCUGACAUACGCUCUGACAUA